rnacentral:rRNA from 1 species
AGUUACCAGCGGGUAAAGCCGGGGACUCUGGUGAAACUGCCGUGGAUAACACGGAGGAAGGUGGGGACGACGUCAAAUCAUCAUGCUCCUUAUGUCCUGGGCUACACACGUGCUACAAUGGCCGCUACAAAGGGAUGCGAGGCCGUAAGGCCAAGCGAAACCGAAAAAAAGCGGUCCCAGUUCGGAUUGAGGGCUGCAACCCGCCCUCAUGAAGUCGGAGUUGCUAGUAAUCGCGGAUCAGCAUGCCGCGGUCGAAUACGUUCCCGGGCCUU